UUGAACGCUGGCGGUAGGCCUAACACCUGCAAGUCGAGCGGAUGAAGGGAGCUUGCUCCUGGAUUCAGCGGCGGACGGGUGAGUAAUGCCUAGGAAUCUGCCUGGUAGUGGGGGAUAACGUCCGGAAACGGGCGCUAAUACCGCAUACGUCCUGAGGGAGAAAGUGGGGGAUCUUCGGACCUCACGCUAUCAGAUGAGCCUAGGUCGGAUUAGCUAGUUGGUGGGGUAAAGGCCUACCAAGGCGACGAUCCGUAACUGGUCUGAGAGGAUGGUCAGUCACACUGGAACUGAGACACGGUCCAGACUCCUACGGGAGGCAGCAGUGGGGAAUAUUGGACAAUGGGCGAAAGCCUGAUCCAGCCAUGCCGCGUGUGUGAAGAAGGUCUUCGGAUUGUAAAGCACUUUAAGUUGGGAGGAAGGGCAGUAAGUUAAUACCUUGCUGUUUUGACGUUACCAACAGAAUAAGCACCGGCUAACUUCGUG
rnacentral:rRNA from 1 species